GCACCAGGGGAUUUUUCUUACAUAUUUACCAUGAGAACCUAAUAGAGCUCCAGGUGGUAGGACUCACAAAAGUGUGGGGCUUCUCUGUGAUUGGGUCCUCCUGGAGUUUUUAACUCUGAGGCUUGUCUACACCAAGCCUCCAGCAUUUCAUCGGUUACACUUUAGGUUUUCCUACCCCAGCACUGCUUCCUACAGAGGCUCUGUCUCAGGUUUUCCAGCUGGGACAUAGUUUUUCUUCUGUCUUUCCACAUGGAUUCGAACUAACACCAUCAGCUCGCCUGCUUCUCAGACCUUCAGACUCAGAUGGAACUACACUAUAGGUUCUCCUGGGUCUGGACUUCUCAGCCUCCAUAAUCAUGAGGUUUUCCUCAAAUGUGUGAUGACCUUAGCUGACCAUUUUUUUUUUAAAGAACUUCUAACAUUUUUCAUUAAGGAGGACGGACUGUUGUGCAGACUCAGGCAGCUCACUCGGGGCUGGGCAGCAGACAGUGAUUAUCGUCACCCCCUGCUUUCAUCCAUUACGGCGGGUGUUAGCAGGAUGUGGGAUUUGAGACCCAAAGAAGUGAAGUAACCUGCCCAAGUUUACACAGCUUGGAGUAGAACCCGAGUUUCUAUGGACUCCAGAGCUCAUGAGUUCACCACUUUUCUGUGCCUCCUAACUCUGGAAAGUUGGAGUUCCUCAUCUGUAGUUUGGAAUCUACCAGGAGAUGUCACUGGCUGGCCUAAUCUCUAUUGGUUCCUGCCUGUUCAGGCAUUAUUUUCAAGGAGAAGAGUGGAUUUUCCAUCUGGGGCCUACCCCUCCUGUCCUCCACAAUAACUUUCUUGUCAGUAUAUAUUCACUGUUCAUGCUUCAAAGACUGUCCUUCUCAACCCCCAGAUGCCGCUGAGGACUCAGAAGAAGCCAGUGCUAAUGCUUUCUCCAGUUUCUCUCCUCUUGUGUGAACUGUGUGAACUGCCACUUUAAGACUCUCUUGGAGAAUCAUAAUCCAAGUUGCGAAGUCCAACAAUUCCUCUGGAGAAAUGGUUCUCAACUGGGGGCAAAUUUGGGCCCCAGGAGACAUAUGGCAAUGUCUGACAAUGUUUUUUUGAUUGUUACAAACAGGUUGGGGAGAGAGUCCUGCUAGCAUCUAGUUGGUAGAGGCCAGGGAUAAUGCUGAACAGCCUGCAGGACACCCCGAACCCCAUCAAAGACCCAAAACGUCAAUGGUACUGAGGUUGAAAAACCCUGGUCUGGAGUUUUAAUCAGUUGGCCAUUUUUCCCAUCCCAUGUUGAAAUAUUUGUAUUUAAAACAUUACAUCUGGUUUAUUUUUUCAAGAUAAUGUCCAGUGUACAGUGGAAAAUGAUGUGUUUUCCUAUCACUUUGCUCAAGAAUAAAGCUGUAAUAUUUGCAAAAUAGAUAACCUUAGUUGUCACUCAAAAUGUAAACUGUCAUAAGGGAUAAGAGAUUAACUGAUUUCACUGUCAACCUUUACAGUGUCAUUAUUUUUCCCUGUAACUGUCUGCUUGAUAUCCUUGCUGACGAAGAUGUUUUAAAAUGGAAGACAAUUAGAGGCUUUAUGUUUAUGAAAAAUGAAGUGUUCACACACAAAAGAAUGCACAGUGGACCUUUUAUGGGAUGUUUAAAAUAUCCUUUCAUUAAAAGAUUUUCUUAAGUGGCU
rnacentral:lncRNA from 10 species